AGUGAGAGACUGAUCAACAACUACAGGAAGAGUGGGACAAAAUUCCUCCACAGCGAAGUGAGAGACUGAGAGACUGAUCAACAACUACAGGAAGACUGGGACAAAAUUCCUCCACAGCGAAGUGAGAGACUGAUCAACAACUACAGGAAGAGUGGGACAAAAUUGCUCCACAGCGAUGUGAGAGACUGAUCAACAACUACAGGAAGUGUCUGGUUGGAGUCAUUGCAGCUGAAGGAGGCACAACCAGUUAUUGAGUGUAAGGGUGCAAGUACUUUUUCACACAGGGGCAUUGGAUGUUGCAUAACUUUGUUCAUGAAAUAAAUUAAAUAAGGGUGUAAUUGUUAUUUGUUCACUCCGGUUCCCUUUAUCCAAUAUUAGGUUUUGGGUUGAAGAUCUGAUAACAUUCAGUGUCAAAAAUAUGCAAAAAUAGAGAAAAUUAGAAAGGGGGCAAAUAUAUAUAUUUUUGUAUGUUGAAAUAUCUUUGACCUCUGUGUGUUGCAGGGCUCCCCAGUCCCAUCUGGUGUAGUGGAGUUUGAGAGGCUGCUAAGGGAGUCCCAGAAGGAGGUGCUGAGGCUCCAGAGGCAACUGUCAAUCUCCUCCUCCAGAGUCAUCUCCUCCAGAGUCAUCUCCCCUAAAGACACUUCCUGUAAAGACACCUCCUGUGAAGACACCUCCUUCAGAGUCACCUCCCCUAAAGACACCUCCUGUAAAGACACCUCCUCCAGAGUCACCUCCUCUAAAGACACCUCCUGUAAAGACACCUCCUCCAGAGUCACCUCCUCUAAAGACACCUCCUGUAAAGACACCUCCUCCAGAGUCACAUCCUCUAAAGACAACUCCUGUAAAGACGCCUCCUCCAGAGUCACCUCGCCUAAAGACACCUCCUGUAAAGACACCUCCUCCAGAGUCACAUCCUCUAAAGACACCUCCUGUAAAGACACCUCCUUCAGAGUCACCUCCCCUAAAGACAUCUCCUCCAGAGUCACCUCCUAUAAAGACACCUCCUGUAAAGACACCUCCAGAGUCACUUCCUCUAAAGACACCUCAUCCAGAGUCACCUCCCCUAAAGACACCUCCUGUAAAGACUCCUCCAGAGUCACCUUCCUUAAAGACGCAUCCUGUAAAGACACCUCCUGUAAAGACCCCUCUUGUAAAGACACCUCCUGUAAAUACCCCUCUGGCAGGAAACACAACGGACACGGAAGGCCCUGCAUAACAAAGGAGGAAAGGGAGGAGAAGGUUGCAGCAGAGACCCAAUUCUUGGCGUUAAAUGAGUCUCCAGCCAGGUGUGAGGAGACUCCCAGAGAGGAGGAGGGGCCACGAGUGAUCCCAACUCCGCCGGGGCCCGCCCCCACCCCGAGCCACUCCCACCAGAAGGAGCACACAGAAGAUCAAAGACUACAGUUGCUGGUAAGAACAGGCACAUUAAUAUCACACACAUUAUAUCCGCACUCACCUCAUACAGUAUACAACCCUGUCACGGCUAGCUAUACUGACACACACACCUCUUGUUGGAGACUUGGCUGAAAUGGCAUUGCUAAUUGGACUAGUGCAGUCUUGUAAGCCUACUGCUGAAUAUCGAGUGCUGGCUAAACCAGUUAUGAUAUAAUGGUUGCUUGUGGUCUGAAGGAUGGCUUUAUCAAUGCAUGAAGAUAAACCAAGUGUUAAUGCUAUGGACAG
ensembl:lncRNA